UAAUUGAAGAGUUUGAUCAUGGCUCAGAUUGAACGCUGGCGGCAGGCCUAACACAUGCAAGUCGAGCGGUAACAGGGGAAGCUUGCUUCCCGCUGACGAGCGGCGGACGGGUGAGUAAUGU
rnacentral:rRNA from 1 species